rnacentral:lncRNA from 1 species
CAUUAGCAAUAAUAAUUUAUUGAGUGUCUCUUUUUCAUGAGACAUAAGGAUGUUGAAAUAUAAUUUAGGAAAGAUUAAGAUUAAAGUGACUCAGAUUCAAGAAAGGAUUUCAACUGUGAUGUAGAUGCAAAAAUAUAUAGAGAACAAGGAAAAAUUGAAUAGACUUUGAAGUGUGCUCUGAUUAUAUUUCAGUCUGAACCUGGACAACUGGUUGUUAUUCUUGUUUCUGUGUCCUAUAUCUACUAUUUAGGCCUACCUAAAUUCUCUUCUCCUUUCUAGUAGACUUUGAAGAAAGAAAGAAAGAGAAGAAAGAAAGAAAGAAAGAAAGAAAGAAAGAAAGAAAGAAAGAAAGAAAGAAAGAAAGAAAAAGAGAAAAAGGAAAGAAAGAAAGAAGAAAGAGGAAGGAAGGAAGAAAGAAAGAAAAGAAAAGAAAGAAUUCUUUUUCAUUUUACUUUCCCUGAAUCCUUCCCCAGGGAGAAGCUACACUAUUGAAAGGUGAGACAUAUGGCCCAAUCAAAUGUGUUGUCUCUGAUGACAGUCAACCCACCUCCAAACACAUAAGUGUUUCUGAGACUAUUCGGUCCAGUGGAGCCAUCAUCUGACUUUUGACAGAACCCAGCCUGGUCCAGUCAGCAGAAUUACACAGCUGACCUGUUGACUCAUUGAAUAUAAUACAGAGCUGCUGUUUUAAGGUAGUCAGUAUUGACAUGAUUUGCUACACGGAAAAUAUUACUGC